rnacentral:misc_RNA from 1 species
GAUGAAGAACGCAGCAAAAUGCGAUACUUGGUGUGAAUUGCAGAAUCCCGUGAACCAUCGAGUUUUUGAACGCAAGUUGCGCCCGAAGCCUUUUGGCCGAGGGCACGUCUGCCUGGGCGUCACGCAUCGCGUCGCCCCCCACAAUUCUCCGUAAAGGGAACGUGUGUUUUGGGGGCGGAUAUUGGUCUCCCGUGCUCAUGGCGUGGUUGGCCGAAAUAGGAGUCCUUUCGAUGGACGCACGAACUAGUGGUGGUCGUAAAACCCCUCGUCUUUUGUUUCGUGCUGUUGCUCGCAAGGUAAACUCUUUAAAAACCCCAAUGUGUCGUCUCUUGACGACGCUUCGACCGCGACCCCAGGUCAGGCGGGACUACCCGCUGAGUUUAAGCAUAUCAAUAAGCGGAGGA